UUAGAGAGGGAUCAUAACUAAUUUGCGGGACCACCAACACGUCUGUUGUAGCAGAUCACGACUUCUGCGGCACCUGCCAGAAAACGCAUACAUUUUUCUUCCUCUUUAGUCUUCUAUCCACCCCUAAAUCCCAUUCCAAAGCGAAAACAAGAAAACCUAUAAGAACCAAACAAACUUUCAAAUCAAAUUUAUAAUCGAAACCCGGACAUCGUUUGUUUUCAGUCUCGUUUUGAAUUAAAAGGAGAGAAAAUGUCGGCCGAUUUGACGCUGAGAUCUUCGUGCAGCGGAUGUGGAUCGACGUCGGAAUUAUACGGAAGUAAUUGCAAGCACAUGACUCUGUGCCUGUCCUGUGGCAAAACCAUGGCUGAGAACCGCGCCAAAUGC